rnacentral:rRNA from 1 species
AAUGUUGACCUCGGAUCAGGUAGGAAUACCCGCUGAACUUAAGCAUAUCAAAAUGGGGGAGAGGAA